rnacentral:rRNA from 1 species
GAUGAACGCUGGCGGCGUGCCUAAUACAUGCAAGUCGAGCGAACAGACGAGGAGCUUGCUCCUCUGACGUUAGCGGCGGACGGGUGAGUAACACGUGGAUAACCUACCUAUAAGACUGGGAUAACUUCGGGAAACCGGAGCUAAUACCGGAUAAUAUAUUGAACCGCAUGGUUCAAUAGUGAAAGACGGUUUUGCUGUCACUUAUAGAUUGAUCCGCGCCGCAUUAGCUAGUUGGUAAGGUAACGGCUUACCAAGGCAACGAUGCGUAGCCGACCUGAGAGGGUGAUCGGCCACACUGGAACUGAGACACGGUCCAGACUCCUACGGGAGGCAGCAGUAGGGAAUCUUCCGCAAUGGGCGAAAGCCUGACGGAGCAACGCCGUGUGAGUGAUGAAGGUCUUCGGAUCGUAAAACUCUGUUAUUAGGGAAGAACAAAUGUGUAAGUAACUAUGCACGUCUUGACGGUACCUAAUCAGAAAGCCACGGCUAACUACGUG